rnacentral:rRNA from 1 species
GACGAACGCUGGCGGCGUGCUUAACACAUGCAAGUCGAACGGUAAGGCCCUUCGGGGUACACGAGUGGCGAACGGGUGAGUAACACGUGGGUGAUCUGCCCUGCACUUCGGGAUAAGCCUGGGAAACUGGGUCUAAUACCGGAUAGGACCACUGCCUGCAUGGGUGGUGGUGGAAAGCUUUUGCGGCGUGGGAUGGGCCCGCGGCCUAUCAGCUUGUUGGUGGGGUGAUGGCCUACCAAGGCGACGACGGGUAGCGGGCCGGGGAGGGUGACCGGCCACACUGGGACUGGGAUACGGCCCAGACGCCUACGGGAGGAAGCAGUGGGGAAUAUUGCACAAUGGGCGCAAGCCUGAUUCAGCGACGCCGCGUGAGGGAUGACGGCCUUCGGGUUGUAAACCUCUUUCAGCACCGACGAAGCGCAAGUGACGGUAGGUGCAGAAGAAGGACCGGCCAACUACGUGCCAGCAGCCGCAGUAA